GGGUAACCUGCCCAAGAGAUCGGGAUAACACCUGGAAACAGAUGCUAAUACCGGAUAACAACAGAUGAUGCCUAUCAACUGUUUAAAAGAUGGUUCUGCUAUCACUCUUGGAUGGACCUGCGGUGCAUUAGCUAGUUGGUAGGGUAACGGCCUACCAAGGCGAUGAUGCAUAGCCGAGUUGGGAGACUGAUCGGCCACAUUGGGACUGAGACACGGCCCAAACUCCUACGGGAGGCAGCAGCG
rnacentral:rRNA from 1 species